CCGUGCAGCCUACACAUGCAAGUCGAACGGCAGCACAGAAGAGCUUGCUCUUUGGGUGGCGAGUGGCGGACGGGUGAGUAAUGUCUGGGAAACUGCCCGAUGGAGGGGGAUAACUACUGGAAACGGUAGCUAAUACCGCAUAACGUCGCAAGACCAAAGUGGGGGACCUUCGGGCCUCACACCAUCGGAUGUGCCCAGAUGGGAUUAGCUAGUAGGUGGGGUAAUGGCUCACCUAGGCGACGAUCCCUAGCUGGUCUGAGAGGAUGACCAGCCACACUGGAACUGAGACACGGUCCAGACUCCUACGGGAGGCAGCAGUGGGGAAUAUUGCACAAUGGGCGCAAGCCUGAUGCAGCCAUGCCGCGUGUAUGAAGAAGGCCUUCGGGUUGUAAAGUACUUUCAGCGGGGAGGAAGGCGGUGAGGUUAAUAACCUUGCCGAUUGACGUUACCCGCAGAAGAAGCACCGGCUAACUCCGUGCCAGCAGCCGCGGUAAUACGGAGGGUGCAAGCGUUAAUCGGAAUUACUGGGCGUAAAGCGCACGCAGGCGGUCUGUUAAGUCAGAUGUGAAAUCCCCGGGCUUAACCUGGGAACUGCAUUUGAAACUGGCAGGCUUGAGUCUCGUAGAGGGGGGUAGAAUUCCAGGUGUAGCGGUGAAAUGCGUAGAGAUCUGGAGGAAUACCGGUGGCGAAGGCGGCCCCCUGGACGAAGACUGACGCUCAGGUGCGAAAGCGUGGGGAGCAAACAGGUUAGA
rnacentral:rRNA from 1 species